rnacentral:misc_RNA from 1 species
UGUGGGAGCGGGCUUGCUCGCGAUAGCGGUGUAUCAGGUAUCAGAUGUGCAAACUGACCCACCGCUAUCGCGAGCAAGCCCGCUCCCACA